UAAAAUCCUCUGUUGGAGUAUACAACUAGGUCACAGCUGUGUUGGCAGGUUUUUACCAACACAAUAUGUGUGGCACAGUGGGAGGUUGAAAGCCUUAAUUCCUAACCUUUCCUACCCAAGGAAGGCCACCUGUGCCUUGGUGAAGUCUUAUGCUUAAUCUGCCAACCAGGCAAGGUGAGGUUCCCAUUUCCAGCAGUUGCGCACAAUCUGCUGGGUGGUUCCACCACAGCCCCCAUGCCAUGGACAUGGCUUACAUCACCUUCCAUGUGCCUCUAUUUUUCCUUUUACUUUGUACCCAUCCCUUGCCCAAGUUGUGAGCGUAGCAAACAGUGUAAAUGUAUUUGCAACCCCCUGGGUGCUACCCCAGGGAAGGGGAAAUCAUGUCCAUCUUCAGCCAAUUUGGACAGCUUUAAAAAACCGUUCCCAGUACCCAGUCUGCGAAGCAGCAUGGGAGGAGCACACUCCCCUCCCAGCCUGAAGCUGAGCCAUGUGGGGUGAGGCUUUAUAAUAUGCCUUAUCAAAUUUUGUGAGAUGUGGAGAUUGUGUGUCCCAGAAGAUUUAGGUCUCCCUACUCUCAUGAUGGCUAGGAAUUACCAGCUACCAUAAGACUACCCCAGCAUGUCAUGAAUGCCUCCUGGCCAGAUUUCAUCUAAGAAGUGUGAUAAUUAGCUGCAAAGAUGGUAGAUGGGGUGUUUGCUUCUCUUGCCCAGCAACCCCCCUCCCCUUCCUGACAGCUUACCCUUACAAUUCAGGUUAUCUUCUUUUGAGUUUCUUUUCUCUGUAAUAGAGAACAUAGCCAGAGCUCUGAGGAUUUAUCAUAAAGAUUAGGUAUAGGUUGCCUCUGGAGAUUCACUCUUUACAAGAAUAAUUAGUUCAUCUCAAUCUAGCACCUCACAAAGCACUCAGCUUUGUGAUGUUAAGCAAACUUCAGAAGGGGAAAACACUGUUGGCUAGUAAAUUAAACAAAUUCUUCUAGAACUUGGCCCAGGUUGUCCUUCACCAGCAAAACAGGGUAUCUGCUACCUGCAGGUACAAGUUUAAAGACCAUUGUAAGGCUGCCAGAUUCCUAAUGUCAAAGCAAUAAUUAGAACCAAGUGUCAUGCAAUUAAACUGUUCAGUAAUGAAACUUGGCAGCCUUGGGCAAUGCAACAAUUUGAGUCUCAGAUUUUAGGUGAUGAAACACGUGCUCAGCUUCUAAACACGAGACCAGUUAGUCCCCGUUGCACUUGGUGGCCAAACACACAACUGACAUUGAUGCAUCAUGUACCUGCAGUACUGUUGCCAAUCCUAUAAAACAACCUUUGCCAAUCUGGAGCCCGCCAGAUGUUUCUAACUAUAACUCUCAUCAGUCCUCACCAGGAUAUGCUGUGGCUGAUGGGAGUUGUAGUCCAAAACAUCUGGAGGACACCAAGUUGAUGAAGGGUGCAGUUAAUAUAGUUCCUACAAAUUAUGCUAUGCAGUUCUAUAUUUAGAGAUGGGAGUAUCAGUUUGCUCAGUUGCCAGUUGAAAUGUUACUUUUCUUUGGACUUUUCAAUUGCUUAAACUUUUUGGUUAGGAUAAUUAAUUAUUUGAUUUGAAAUGCCACGUAGCAGAGUUGUAGAUUUGGCAUUCCCAGUCCUCCCUUAGACGUAUGUCUAUAUAGUAUAUUAGCGUUAACAUGCGUUUGCCAUUAGACACAUAAUUAUUAAGUGUAUUUUGCCAUUGCAUAAAUAAUUGUGAGGAGAUGAUGACUGGAAGAACUUGGAAAAAAAUAUAGGAACUUAGGCAAGAUAGACAUCUUUAUAGCUGCUAUUUGUCCAAGCCAGCUUAAUUUGACAUUUUCCUAUUUCUUGAGUUUUAGAACUAUUUCCAUAUAUAGACCUUUAUAAUUCCUGUGUGCCAAUUGCUUGUGCAAGGGUGAAGGAUGAAUUUGUUAUGUCUAUAUUAGAAAAAAGGUAUUGUUGAUUUUGAGUAAUUAAUUUGCAAACCUGCAACUCUGUGGAAUGCAUUUAACUGAUUGACAAGAGGAAGAAGAGCUUCCUUUGGAUUUUGGAUCAUUACAAGUGUAUCAUCGGCAAACACGUUGAUUUUAUAUUCUCUGCUUCUUAUUGUGAUUAAGAGUCCAUUCUUAAUUGGUUGGCUAGAACCUCUUUUGCUAUUACAAAUAGCAGGGGUGACAGGGGAUAACCCUGCCAUGUGUCUAUAAAUGGGUCAAUUUGAGGAGUAUCAGAACUGUUGACUACUAUGAUUGCAUGGGAUUUGUGAAACGUAACUUAAGUCUGGUAUUAUUUGCUCCUGGGCACUUCCUGUUAUUGAUUGAUUGAUUAGUGUGUGUAGGUACUAUAUUGCUUGUAGUGAUUCAGAGACAUUUCCUUAAAACAGGGAUGUCCAACCAGUAGAUUGCGAUCUACCGGUAGAUCCCCGUCUGAUCCUGGUAAAUCGCGGGAUCCAAAACUCUGUGCAAUCCUCUCCCCAAAAAGCUCAGUACUGUAACUCUGGGCACUUCCCUCCUAAAAAAAGCUCAACAACUCUGGGCGAUGAACCAUUCCAUGCACGCUCCUCCUCCCUCCAAUGAUGACAAUGGGUAGAUCACUGCCAGUUUUUUUAUACUGGGAGUAGAUCAGUCUCUUGGGAGUUGGACAUGCCUGCCUUAAAAGAAACAUUGGGAUGGGAGUUUAGUAAUGAUUUGAGAGGGUGGAGCCUGACUGGCUUUAGGGGCUCCAGCAGAAAACUUCAUGUUGUAUCUGCUGACUAAUGAAAUCACUGUGUUAAGUCUGGCGUCAAGGUACUGAACCCAAACUUAUUACAGGUACAGAAAUGUCUGCAUGUGUACACAGAAUGGGACAAGGCGUGUGUGUGGGAGGGGGGACAACACUCUUUAUUUUAACUUUCUUCAUUGUUCCUACCUAUCACCCCAAUCUUGAAGUGGUGAGAGAAUCCAGGGGUUCCAGCACUUACCCAGGGUUUGGUUGCCAUGGAAUGAAGGUCAGCAGAGAUUGUGGUGGCUUUGGGCUAUAUGGUUUUGUUUGCACACAUAUACAACCCGAGUGUAAAAUGGAAGGGCUCAUAGGGUUAACAUCCCAAAGUACAGUUUCUCCAUUAGUUACAGCUUUAGAUCCAGCAAGGAGCAAGCAUGUCUCUGUCUCUCCCGCUUCCAGCCCAGCUCUCUCACACACUUACUAUUGUUCUCCUACCUAGCAGCCAGGUGAAGCGGGGUGGGGGGGUGGGAAGGUCCACCUAUUAGCCUAGAAGGCACCAUCACUUACUUAUAGUCUAGCUAUUCUUUUGGGAUGCUGAUGAGGCCACUUAAGUGGCCAGAUAAGGGCAUUGUCCUACAAAGAAACUUGUCUGACUAGUUCAUCAAUAGAAUCCGUCACUGGGGACAAGAGUCCAAUAAUUGGAAGGGACUCAGGGCACCAUCCCUGCAAACUAACAUAUACAUUUCCCCAAGCAAUUAUCCUAAUACAGCACAAUUUUGUAUCUUAUUUUUACAAAUAUGUUCAUUUUCAUUGACACUUCCCCUUAAUAUCUGCAUGUCUGUGAACAUAGGUUGGAGAACUCUAUCAUAAAAUUGGGCUAAGCACAAAUUUAAAUGGAAGGCUGUGUUUUGGUUCUUAUAUUGUUUUGAAAAGUUCAAAUUUCAUAGAUUCAGCUGUAAAUGUGGAUUGAAUUGUAUUUCUCAUCCAUCCCUACCAGGACAGCAAGCCCCGGGGAAUUCAAUGGAACUUACUUCUGAGUAGCUAUGUAUAGAAUUACAAUUUAAGAGACUGAAAAGGUAGGCUCAGGAGGUUUUUGGCUGCCACGUGAGAGGCAAGCACAAGGAAGUGAGUUUGUUGAUGUUCUGCUUUCAUGUCUCAUCUUGCGCUGAGCAGCAUUCACAAGCAUCUGCCCAUGUGAAUUCACUGCUAAUAUUUUAUGCUUCUGGAAUGUACCUUUUCAUAAAGGACUGCCAUUGUUUCAAGUCUGCACUUGGCAGAUAUGCCCCAGGAAAAACAGGUGCAGUCAUGGCAGGCAAGAGCCAGCAGGAGAAAAUGCAAGCCCUUUAGAGGGGAAUAAUCACCCAAGAAAUCACAGUAGUCAGCCACACACAUACCAAAUACAAGAGAC